rnacentral:rRNA from 1 species
AACGAACGCUGGCGGCGUGCCUAACACAUGCAAGUCGAACGAAGCCUUCGGGCUUAGUGGCGCACGGGUGCGUAACGCGUGGGAAUCUGCCCUUGGGUUCGGAAUAACAGUUAGAAAUGACUGCCAAUACCGGAUGAUGUCUUCGGACCAAGGAUUUAUCGCCCAAGGAUGAGCCCGCGUAGGAUUAGGUAGUUGGUGGGGUAAUGGCCCACCAAGCCGACGAUCCUUAGCUGGUCCGAGAGGAUGAUCAGCCACACUGGGACUGAGACACGGCCCAGACUCCUACGGGAGGCAGCAGUGGGGAAUAUUGGACAAUGGGCGAAAGCCUGAUCCAGCAAUGCCGCGUGAGUGAUGAAGGCCUUAGGGUUGUAAAGCUCUUUUACCAGGGAUGAUAAUGACAGUACCUGGAGAAUAAGCUCCGGCUAACUCCGUGCCAGCAGCCGCAGUAACAC